rnacentral:rRNA from 4 species
AUCCGGGUUGCGGACAGUGUCUGGUGGGUAGUUUGACUGGGGCGGUCUCCUCCUAAAGAGUAACGGAGGAGCACGAAGGUUGGCUAAUCCUGGUCGGACAUCAGGAGGUUAGUGCAAUGGCAUAAGCCAGCUUGACUGCGAGCGUGACGGCGCGAGCAGGUGCGAAAGCAGGUCAUAGUGAUCCGGUGGUUCUGAAUGGAAGGGCCAUCGCUCAACGGAUAAAAGGUACUCCGGGGAUAACAGGCUGAUACCGCCCAAGAGUUCAUAUCGACGGCGGUGUUUGGCACCUCGAUGUCGGCUCAUCACAUCCUGGGGCUGAAGUAGGUCCCAAGGGUAUGGCUGUUCGCCAUUUAAAGUGGUACGCGAGCUGGGUUUAGAACGUCGUGAGACAGUUCGGUCCCUAUCUGCCGUGGGCGCUGGAGAACUGAGGGGGGCUGCUCCUAGUACGAGAGGACCGGAGUGGACGCAUCACUGGUGUUCGGGUUGUCAUGCCAAUGGCACU